GAUGAACGCUGGCGGCGUGCCUAAUACAUGCAAGUCGAGCGAACGGACGAGAAGCUUGCUUCUCUGAUGUUAGCGGCGGACGGGUGAGUAACACGUGGAUAACCUACCUAUAAGACUGGGAUAACUUCGGGAAACCGGAGCUAAUACCGGAUGAUAUUUUGAACCGCAUGGUUCAAAAGUGAAAGACGGUCUUGCUGUCACUUAUAGAUGGAUCCGCGCUGCAUUAGCUAGUUGGUAAGGUAACGGCUUACCAAGGCAACGAUGCAUAGCCGACCUGAGAGGGUGAUCGGCCACACUGGAGCUGAGACACGGUCCAGACUCCUACGGGAGGCAGCAGUAGGGAAUCUUCCGCAAUGGGCGAAAGCCUGACGGAGCAACGCCGCGUGAGUGAUGAAGGUCUUCGGAUCGUAAAACUCUGUUAUUAGGGAAGAACAUAUGUGUAAGUAACUGUGCACAGCUUGACGGUACCUAAUCAGAAAGCCACGGCUAACUACGUG
rnacentral:rRNA from 1 species